rnacentral:rRNA from 1 species
CCUACGGGCGGCAGCAGUGGGGAAUAUUGGUCAAUGGGCGCAAGCCUGACCUAGCAAAGUAGCGUGAAGGAUGACUGCCCUACGGUUUGAAAACUUCUUUUAUAAAGGAAUAAAGUGAGGCACGUGUGCCUUUUUGUAUGUACUUUAUGAAUAAGGAUCGGCUAACUCCGUGCCAGCAGCCGCGGUAGUACGGAGGAUCCGAGCGUUAUCCGGGGUUAUUGGGGUUAAAGGGAGCGUAGAUGGGUUGUUAAGUCAGUUGUGAAAGUUUGCGGCUCAACCGUAAAAUUGCAAUUGAUACUGGCAGUCUUGAGUACAGGUGAGGUAGGCGGAAUUCGUGGUGUAGCGGUGAAAUGCUUAGAUAUUACGAAGAACGCCGAUUGCGAAGGCAGCUUACUAAACUGUCACUGACAUUGAUGCUCGAAAGUGUGGGUAUCAAACAGGAUUAGAUACCCCUGUAGUC